AACCUACUUACAGGACGGGGACAACAGUUGGAAACGACUGCUAAUCCCCGAUGAGCCGCAAGGUAAAAGAUUUAUCGCCUGAAGCAGGGCUCGCGUCUGAUUAGUUAGUUGGUGGGGUAAAAGCCUACCAAGGCGCCGAUCAGUAGCUGGUUUGAGAGGAUGAGCAGCCACACUGGGAUUGAGACACGGCCCAGACUCCUACGGGAGGCAGCAGUGGGGAAUUUUCCGCAAUGGGCGCAAGCCUGACGGAGCAAUACCGCGUGAGGGAGGAAGGCCCUUGGGUUGUAAACCUCUUUUGUUCGGGAAGAAGUAAUGACGGUACCGAACGAAUAAGCAUCGGCUAACUCCGUGCCAGCAGCCGCGGUAAUACGGAGGAUGCCAGCGUUAUCCGGAAUCAUUGGGCGUAAAGCGUCCGCAGGUGGUGAUUCAAGUCUGCGGUCAAAGACAGAAGCUCAACUUCUGAAAGGCCGUGGAAACUGAAACACUAGAGUCCGGUAGGGGUAGAGGGAAUUCCCAGUGUAGCGGUGAAAUGCGUAGAGAUUGGGAAGAACAUCGGUGGCGAAAGCGCUCUACUGGGCCGAGACUGACACUCAGGGACGAAAGCUAGGGUAGCGAAAGGGAUUAGAUACCCCUGUAGUC
rnacentral:rRNA from 1 species